AGCCUGUGGUGUCGGCUCACCACGAGGUUUUAGUAAUGCCACUCUCUGGGGAACACUGCUGGCUUAGCUGAACUCUGAACAAGCAGACCAGUGCACAAGUGCACUCGAGCUCUUUCCUUUCUACUCAUUUGCAACACAUGCCAGGCACCUGCCAAUGUCAAGUAUGGCAAGAAGCUCACCUGAAGGUUACACAGCUGGGCAUGCAUGGACUGCAGGCACCUGUAUCUGUAAGGAAACCAGCAUGCUUGCUCACUUCUUGUGCCAGAGAAAGAAAUGAACCAGUCAGUGCUAAUGAAUGAUGCAGUCCUCUGUGGCUGAAACAUUGCCCUCCCAUCCAACAAUGAAAACUGGGGGGGAGAUCCAUAUACAGGAGCUGACAUGAAUAAAUGGGAAGUCUUAUUCAGAAGUGCACAAAGCCAAAGCUUCAUUCCCUUCUGCUGGGAGGGCAGCACACCUGGUCAGAAGAAGCAAGCAGCAAGUGAGCUGCUGCUUGUUGAGGCUAUGCAUAGUGAGGGGAAGAACUUCUACCUCCAGUAAUCCCAGUAGCAAGGAGAGGGUGGGCCUGUGAGGGAGGCCCAGCCAGUUCUGAAGAGCAUUUUUGGUUUAAGAAAGGCUUACAGGAAGCAACAGGCUCUGCCCAGGCCCUAUGCCAGCCUCUUGUCAAACCUCCCAGCAUGAGAAAGAGUGGAAGGAGAGAAUCAUGAGGAGAUCAUGCCUCUGAUGGCAGAGAGGACAGCACUGAAGGAAAGGGGGGGAAAUGAUGUGAAGGUCAACUGUUCAAACAAAGAACAAGGAAGCACUGUAGACGUUUGGUCUUGUAAUUCUGCCUACACACCUGUGCCUUGUUAAGCCAGCAGUUGUUGACUCAGCCUGUAUUGUUCCUACGUCUCUUGGGCCUGUGGCCAGCUGUACCACUAAAUGUUUCAUUUGCAAUUAUUUGAAUAGUAUUCCUUUUCAAAAUGGAGCAGGAUGGUAGUCUGUAUGGGGUAGCAACAACACAGUGCUGUGCAAUAGCUUCCUCAUUCCCCUGAAGCUGAAAUAUCAACACUGCAUCUCAAACCUACACAGGUCUCCUGUGAAACGCUACUGGGUCCCUCCAUUAGCACAGUUAGAAGUAUGAAGCAGAAUUAUCUUCUGUUAAGAACUAUGCCUUUGCUUAGCCAUAGUUCUGGAGGUCUUUGUGUGCCAAGUUUUUUCCAAAGUGGCUAAAUAUGCUUUUGACAGUUGCCCCAGAAGUAGAACUCAAAUUAAAAAAGAC
ensembl:lncRNA